ACGAGUAUCGGGAUGUUGUGCUGGUUCUCACAAGUGCACGCUCCCUUCAUUCAAUUCACACCCUGUGCACCUUUGAUGAGAUGGAGGCCUUACCCCCGUUUACGUGACCUUCGGGUCUCCGGGUUGGGACGACGUCUUAUUUUUACAUCAACACAAGUAUUCAGAAUGUCAACUUGCAGUAAUGCAGAAAAAAAUA
rnacentral:misc_RNA from 1 species